rnacentral:rRNA from 1 species
AGUGAACGCUGGCGGUAGGCCUAACACAUGCAAGUCGAACGGCAGCACAGUAAGAGCUUGCUCUUACGGGUGGCGAGUGGCGGACGGGUGAGGAAUACAUCGGAAUCUACUUUUUCGUGGGGGAUAACGUAGGGAAACUUACGCUAAUACCGCAUACGACCUACGGGUGAAAGCAGGGGAUCUUCGGACCUUGUGCGAUUGAAUGAGCCGAUGUCGGAUUAGCUAGUUGGCGGGGUAAAGGCCCACCAAGGCGACGAUCCGUAGCUGGUCUGAGAGGAUGAUCACCCACACUGGAACUGAGACACGGUCCAGACUCCUACGGUAGGCAGCAGUGGGGAAUAUUGGACAAUGGGCGCAAGCCUGAUCCAGCCAUACCGCGUGGGUGAAGAAGGCCUUCGGGUUGUAGAGCCCUUUUGUUGGGAAAGAAAAACAGCAGGUUAAUACCCCGCUGUUCUGACGGUACCCAAAGAAUAAGCACCGGCUAACUUCGUG